CGUGAGCAACCUGCCCUUCAGAGGAGGACAACAGUUGGAAACGACUGCUAAUACCGCAUAAGACCACGGUGUGGCAUCACACAGAGGUCAAAGGAGAAAUCCGCUGAAGGAUGGGCUCGCGUCCAAUUAGCUAGAUGGUGAGGUAACGGCCCACCAUGGCGACGAUUGGUAGCCGGACUGAGAGGUUGAUCGGCCACAUUGGGACUGAGACACGGCCCAG
rnacentral:rRNA from 1 species